rnacentral:misc_RNA from 1 species
AAGUCGUAACAAGGUUUCCGUAGGUGAACCUGCGGAAGGAUCAUUAUUGAAUAAACUGGCGUGGUUGUAGCUGGCCCCCUCGGGGGCAUGUGCUCGCCCGUCAACUUUAUAUCUCCACCUGUGCACCUUUUGUAGACCUGGACGAUAACUUUUCCGAGGUAACUCGGUCGGGAGGACUGCUGGCUUUCACGAGUCGGCUUUCCUUGUAUUAUCCAGGGCUAUGUUAUUCACAUACCCCAAAGAAUGUAACAGAAUGUAUCAUUAUGGCCUCGUGCCUAUAAACUAUAUACAACUUUCAGCAACGGAUCUCUUGGCUCUC